GAACGCGAAGAACCUUACCCGGGCUUGAACCAAGAGUGACGAGUGCAGAGAUGCACUUUUCUUCGGACACUUUUGGAGGUGCUGCAUGGUUGUCGUCAGCUCGUGCCGUGAGGUGUCGGCUUAAGUGCCAUAACGAGCGCAACCCUUUUCUACGUUUGCCAUCGGGUAAUGCCGGGAACUCCGUGGAUACUGCCGCCGCAAGGCGGAGGAAGGUGGGGAUGACGUCAAAUCAGCACGGCCCUUACGUCCGGGGCUACACACGUGUUACAAUGGUCGGAGCAGCAGGAAGCUACCUGGCGACAGGAUGCUGAUCCCAAAACCCGGCCUCAGUUCGGACUGGAGUCUGCAACCCGACUCCACGAAGCCGGAUUCGCUAGUAAUCGCGCAUCAGCCAUGGCGCGGUGAAUACGUUCCCGGGUCUUGUACACACC
rnacentral:rRNA from 1 species